AUGAACGCUAGCGGCAGGCCUAACACAUGCAAGUCGAGGGGCAGCACAAAAAGAGUUUACUCUUUUGGUGGCGACCGGCGCACGGGUGCGUAACGCGUAUGCAACCUACCCUGAACAGGGGGAUAACACUGGGAAACUGGUACUAAUACCCCAUAACAUCAGAUGAGGCAUCUCAUUUGGUUAAAAACUCCGGUGGUUCAGGAUGGGCAUGCGUUGUAUUAGGUAGUUGGUGAGGUAACGGCUCACCAAGCCUACGAUACAUAGGGGGACUGAGAGGUUAGCCCCCCACACUGGUACUGAGACACGGACCAGACUCCUACGGGAGGCAGCAGUGAGGAAUAUUGGUCAAUGGACGCAAGUCUGAACCAGCCAUGCCGCGUGCAGGAAGACGGCUCUAUGAGUUGUAAACUGCUUUUAUAUGAGGAUAAACCCAGGUACGUGUACCUGGUUGAAGGUACCAUAUGAAUAAGGACCGGCUAACUCCGUGCCAGCAGCCGCAGUAAUAC
rnacentral:rRNA from 1 species